UACGGAGGGAGCUAGCGUUAUUCGGAAUUACUGGGCGUAAAGCGCACGUAGGCGGCUUUGUAAGUCAGAGGUGAAAGCCUGGAGCUCAACUCCAGAACUGCCUUUGAGACUGCAUCGCUUGAAUCCAGGAGAGGUGAGUGGAAUUCCGAGUGUAGAGGUGAAAUUCGUAGAUAUCGAGAGGAACACCUGCGGCGAAGGCGGGUUGCUGGGCUGACACUGACGCUGAACUGCGAAAGCUAGGGGAGCGAACGGG
rnacentral:rRNA from 1 species